UGGAUCCUUGUGGUACUUGGCAGCAUCAACUGUAUAAUGACCGACUGCGGUUUUCAUGUUGUCCUUAGAGACUUUAUAAACGUUCGAUUUAUGUGCUGGAAUGGGGGUUACCUUUGCUUAUUCCCUAUAUGAACUGUAUGAAAUUGGUGUUACAGUUUUGUGUAGAUUAACAUAGUCUGUAAUGUGUCUUACAGAUUUGACUGGCAAAAAGGAUCUGAAGAAUCUUAGAGAACAAGAGCAGUUCCCACCUGGUUUCCAUGGCAUCUGUCCAACUCACAGCAGGAAAGGAAGCAGAUCUCGGCAGUGCUGAGUUCGCCCUCUUCUGGACGGAAGUGAGGGCUCCAAUAAGCCUCGGUCUAAUUAGCCAUGCUGUCAAAACAUUUCUGCACAAGUGCUUUUCGAAAACUCUGCUGCAUGCUCACGCUGAACUAUUCCGAGGGGAGAUUUGUUCAUUUGGGCUUAUGUAACACUGCAGCUUGCUGCCAUUACAGGAAAAACAAAUGAAAAGGUCAAUCGAUAGUAAAUCCAAGCCAGAAAGAAACUGCUCUGAUCAGGUCCCACAUUGCUCAUUCCAGGUAUUAGAGAUUUAAAACUCAACCUUUUCGUGUAAAGCAAUUGGAAAUAAGAGAGUCAAACGUAUAAAAGCAAGCACUUUUAUUUGUUUGAACAGAUACAUAGAUUUUAUAUUGUACACUUUUUUUUUUGUUGUUGCUAUUUUGUGUUCUUAUACAUGUACUAACCGUGGUUAAAAAAGGCAACUGUUAAUGGAAACAAUGGCAAGUAUACAAUACAAUUAGCAAACAUAUCAAAAUCAGUUUUUACAACAUUUUUAGCAACCAAUUCUUUCUAUUGGUCUGCCAUAGUGCAAACUGUGUGGUUUGAAGACAGAGUGGUAGCGUGAUAUUAACAUUCAUAUUCCUUACAGUCCCGACGUCUCUGUCUCGAACACGUUUUAAUGUGUAGACCGCAUUCACAGCGCCUCUGCUUCAAGUCCUUCUCUCCCUUAAUGUCGAUUUCAAUAAUACUUCAAGUGUGUAGGGCUGUUCGACAGAUGAGUAGUGGUCAAAAGCUACGAUUAACAAUGUGUUUAUUGCAGUGUGUGCGUCAGAUAACCCUAUUCAAGCUCUGUUCAAUGUUCGAGAGUCCCUCUCUGUUUCUCUUGGAUACUCUUCUUAAACAAGCUCACUGGUUACAGCAAAGAUCUAAAUGAUUGUAUUUUGGAGUGGUUGUGUAAUAUAUUUUUUUGUUGUUGUAUGUUGUCUGUGUGUCCUAAUGAUAGUAUUCUGACAAGGUGAAAACAUGAAAUAAAGCAGAGAAUGUCAUCCA